GUUCUUGGGUUGGCAGCACAUAUACUGAAAUUGGAACGAUACAGAGAAGAUUAGCAUGGCCCCUGCACAAGGAUGACACAAAUUUGUGAAGCAUUCCAUAUUUAU
ensembl:snRNA U6 U6 spliceosomal RNA